rnacentral:rRNA from 1 species
UGGGUGAUCUGCCCUGCACUUUGGGAUAAGCCUGGGAAACUGGGUCUAAUACCGAAUACACCUUGCUGGCCGCAUGGUCUGGUGGGGGAAAGCUUUUGCGGUGUGGGAUGGGCCCGCGGCCUACCAGCUUGUUGGUGGGGUGAUGGCCUACCAAGGCGACGACGGGUAGCCGGCCUGAGAGGGUGACCGGCCACACUGGGACUGAGACACGGCCCAGACUCCUACGGGAGGCA